GGUUACGGCCAAACCCCCCUGAGCACGCCCGAUCUUGUCCGAUCUCGGAAGCUAAGCAGGGUCGGGCCCGGUUAGUACUUGGAUGGGAGACCGCCUGGGAAUACCAGGUGCUGUAAGCCU
rnacentral:rRNA from 1 species